AUCGCAGUCUGCAACCCGACUGCGUGAAGUCGGAAUCGCUAGUAAUCGCGGAUCAGCAUGCCGCGGUGAAUACGUUCCCGGGCCUUGUACACACCGCCCGUCACACCAUGAGAGUUGGAAAUACCCGAAGCCUGUGAGCUAACUUAAAGAGGCAGCAGUCGAAGGUAGAGCCAAUGAUUGGGGUGAAGUCGUAACAAGGUAUC
rnacentral:rRNA from 1 species